GAGCUCGCUUCGGCAGCACAGAUACGAAAAUUGAAACGAUACAGUGAGGAUUAGCAUGGUCCCUGCACAAAGAUGACACGCAAAUUUGCUAAGUGUUCCAUAUUUUU
rnacentral:snRNA from 1 species